rnacentral:lncRNA from 14 species
AUGCUGCCCCUUGAUGCCCACAGCUGGAGCUGGAGGAGCUGCUGCCCCCAAGCAGGGAGCCCCAGCCACACUCCCGGCACCAUGACCUGCCUGAGGGCCACAAUGCCGCUGCUGAUGGUGAUGGUGAUGGUGGUGACCACGGCUUCCAUUCCAGCGCAGAGGAGAUCAAGGAGGUGCUGGCAGCACUGCGCCCGAGCAACGCCGAUGGCCGUGACAGCCCUGACCCGUGGCCUGACACCGUCCCUGGUGACGAGUGGGAUCCCAACGCCGCGUUCAUCUGUGCGGCCGGUGGCGAUGGUGCCAAGGAGCUGCUGUCAGACAAUGGCGUGGAGGAGGAGGAGGAGGAGGUGCAGAUGGCUCUGGCCAUCCAGUACUCCAUGGACCAUGCGAGGCACGAGCAGGAGGAGCUGGCGCGCGCCACCGCUCUGUCCCUGCGCUCCUACAGCCGUGAGCAGGAGCAGGAGCAGGCCCGGGAGGAUGCCAGGCUGCUGGCCGCGCUGGAGGCCUCGCUGGAGGAGGUGCUGCUGGCGGCGGGCGGUGCGGGUGACGCUGUUCUGCUCCUCCGAGCGGGACGCCUCGGCGGUGGCGCGGGAGCUGGAGCGGGCGCUGGCGGGGCGGCUGCAGGUGCAGGACGUGGCGAGUGAGCGGCUGCAGGCGCUGCCGGCUGCCGGCCGCUGUGCCCUGGCCCUGCUGCGGUGCCGGCACGCCGUGCAGCUCAGCCUGCGCGGUGACACCGCCACGCUGCGCGGCUUCGCCGACUACACGGCCCUGGCUGCCCGAGACCUCAGCUCGCUGCUCCACCGCCUGCCAUCGCCAGGGCACGGUGCCACUGCUGCCACUGCUGCCACUGCUGACACCACUGACCCCACUGCCACCACUGCCACCGCGCACUGGGUGCGCUGGGACCCCUCUGGCACUGCUGUCCCCUACGCCCCCGAGGCAGCGGCGCUGCUGGAGCAGGCCUGGUCACGCCAGGAGCGCCGGCUGGAUCUGGUGCUGGAUGGGCGGCCCUUCACCGUGGAUUUGGAGCGCAUGGAGGAGUUCGACAUCGGCAGCGCCCGCGCUGUACCCGUCU